rnacentral:lncRNA from 1 species
AUGAAAUCUGAGUUUCACUUAAUCCUCAGAACCACGAUUGAGGCGCUUGUUCCUACUCCCAUUUUAAGACGCGGGCUGCAGAGAGGGCAAGCACCCUCUCCACACAGAGCGAACACGACGGGUAGGGCUCAAGUCCAGGAGGUUCCCAAGCCCCCGUGCCGUUGGUGCCACGCGGUGCUCCCACCCAGCCCACUCCGCGGGAGAAAAACUACAGGCCUCGGAGGAGGAGCCGCUCCUCGCAGUUGGGUGGGGCAGAGGCCGGCGCGAGGCCUUGCUCGCUGGAGGAUUUCCGCAGGCCUGAAACAGGCAGGACCGGAGCCCAGCAGGCGGGCCCGGGCCUGCGCAUUCAGAACCCCCGACGAGCGACCGCUAAGCGGGUGGGCGCGCACCGCGGGGCCGGAGGGAAAGGCCCAGACCCUGCGGGGAAGGCCACGCCCCGAGUGGGAGCGCUUCCUUCCAGAUCCCGGCCUCUCGCUGCAAUUCGUUUUAAGGGCAGCCCUGCCCGGUUCACACCUAGCCUUGAAGAUGACGGAUUGCACGGUUUUGGGGAACAUGUGAAGAACAUGCAGGAUUGUUGCAUAGGAACACACAUGGAUGUUAAGGAUGGCAAGAGAGUUCAACAGUGUGAAAACAGCUCACAGAUCACAGAAAUAAAGCAUUGCAUGGGCCUAAAAGGAUGAGCAGCUGUCUUCGCAAAAGCAGUUUCUGGAGAGAAGUAACAG